rnacentral:rRNA from 1 species
AAUAGAUACCCGGGUAGUCCACGCCGUAAACGAUGAGUGCUAAGUGUUAGAGGGUUUCCGCCCUUUAGUGCUGCAGCAAACGCAUUAAGCACUCCGCCUGGGGAGUACGGCCGCAAGGCUGAAACUCAAAGGAAUUGACGGGGGCCCGCACAAGCGGUGGAGCAUGUGGUUUAAUUCGAAGCAACGCGAAGAACCUUACCAGGUCUUGACAUCCCCUGACAACCCUAGAGAUAGGGCGUUCCCCUUCGGGGGACAGGGUGACAGGUGGUGCAUGGUUGUCGUCAGCUCGUGUCGUGAGAUGUUGGGUUAAGUCCCGCAACGAGCGCAACCCUUGAUCUUAGUUGCCAGCAUUCAGUUGGGCACUCUAAGGUGACUGCCGGUGACAAACCGGAGGAAGGUGGGGAUGACGUCAAAUCAUCAUGCCCCUUAUGACCUGGGCUACACACGUGCUACAAUGGAUGGUACAAAGGGCUGCAAAACCGCGAGGUUAAGCGAAUCCCAAUAAAACCAUUCUCAGUUCGGAUUGCAGG